GGGUGCCAUCAUACCAGCACUAAUACACGGGAUUCCAUUAGAACUCCACAGUUAAGCGUGCUUGGGCGAGAGUAGUACAAGGAUGGGUUACCAUCUAGGAAGUCCUCGUGUCACACUCU